rnacentral:rRNA from 1 species
CUCUGGGAUGGAUCUGCGGCCCAUCAGCUAGUUGGUGAGGUAACGGCUCACCAAGGCUACGACGGGUAGCUGGUCUGAGAGGAUGAUCAGCCACACUGGAACUGAGACACGGUCCAGACUCCUACGGGAGGCAGCAGUGGGGAAUCUUGCGCAAUGGGCGAAAGCCUGACGCAGCGACGCCGCGUGGGUGACGAAGGCCUUCGGGUUGUAAAGCCCUGUGGGGAGGAACGAACCGUCCGGGGGCCAAUACCCUCCGGGCCUGACGGUACCUCUUUAGCAAGCAUCGGCUAACUCUGUGCCAGCAGCCGCGGUAAGACAGAGGAUGCGAACGUUGCUCGGAAUUACUGGGCGUAAAGCGCGCGUAGGUGGCCUUGUAAGUCUCGUGUGAAAGCCCUCUGCUCAACGGAGGAAGUGCACGGGAUACUGCGAGGCUGGAGUACAGAAGAGGACAGCGGAAUUCCCGGUGUAGAGGUGAAAUUCGUAGAUAUCGGGAGGAA